CCAGAAUUUCCAGAUACUCCAAUAAAUCCAUCUUACUGUGGAAGAAUUCUCGGGUAAGAGAUGAUGCAGGGACACUCCAAACAUUCCAGACACAGGUCAAUGAAGAACAAAGGCUAUUUAUUGUUUUGCAGCUGCAAAAUCUCAGUCAGACAAUAGUCUUGGAAUACCCGACUGGGCACAUGUCUACAAGAGAACAAAGAAUAUAUCCCACAAAUGAUGUAUU